GGAAACAAACAGAAACUGUGUCAGCGGCGGGUUCUGGAGAAUAAACUUUCCCUUUGAAUUUUUACGGUUAAUGCGCUCAAAGUUAACUUGGUGCAUUACAUCUUGAAUAAAAAGACCAAACAGGAGGGUUGGCCUCUGCCUUCUUGUUUCACUACAGUAUAAUUGGAGAGCUGUGCCUCGGUCAGUGCUGCAGUGAGCUACAGUAAAGAGAGGAAAGGUUGAGCGAAUCCUUAGGCUGAUUAAUGACCCCAGGAACUGAUGGUUUAUCACAGAUCUGCCUCACACAUCCAGUCAUCUUUCACGUCAGGUGAUUAAUUACAGGGAUUAAUUAGGUUCAACACAGGCUCUUUAGUGUGGUUAAAAAAAGCGAAGGCCUCCAACAAUUUCAAAUGCAUGACCAUUUGUCAUAGGUGUGUAAAUCCAGUUGCUGCUCAGGAGCACAGGGAUGAUGUAUGAAUCCACCUGGACCCGCUCAUUAAGAAUGCUCUCAUUAGCCUGCUGUGCACAGCGAGCUCUGGGCCCGGGCUGCUGGAACGAGCAAGGCCACCGCACCAUGCAGCACACAGCCAGAUAAACAGAACAGCAGAUGCAGCCAGAAAAACAAGUAGGCUAAGGUGCUCAUGUGAUCACACAAAGGAUGUGCUGGAGCAGUAUAAAGACAGCACUGUGAACAAGCAAUUUAGUCACUUAAAUGUAUCCUCUACUCCACUGUUUCAUGUCGCACAGCUUGCAUAUCCUCAUAAAUGUAGCUGUACACAAAUGAAUCAAAUUAUUACUGGCAUGUGAUGAGAUGGAAUAUUGCUGUAACGAUGACACAUCUAUGCCCUGAUAUUAAUUAACCUAUGAAAGAACCAGCGGAAAAGAAUCUCAUCCAAAUUUAUUCCGCAUAUCGAGUUGACUGGCAUGCCCGUAGGGGUACCUCACAGCUUAAUCAUCAAUAGCUGGCAACACUUCCUGUAAUUUGAACAACAAGAGAUCAAAGUCCAUAUUCUGUCAAACAAGCCUAGAAGCAGCCUUGAAAAACAAACACCUACGCCUACAAAGAUGAUUUAGUUAGUCCAAGCUCGCGGAAAAAAUUCUGAGCAGGUGCAAAAACAAGCUUCAGGUUGCUGAUCUAUAACCCCCUGCCGAAACCAAAAGGAUUUUCAAAGCAAACAUGGAUCCGGCCCAGGCCCGGUGACAGCGCUCCACCCUGAUCUCUGCUCAAAGGGUUAACGAUACAACAGAGUGACGCUGCAAGCUCCCCGCUCAGGUCAGCCGGGCCUCCAGCCAGGAUGAAGGAGACGAAGAUCCCUUCUCCAUCCUCCCCGCCAACGAUGUUGAAGCCCAGACCAGUAGAGCCCUUGUGCAGCACCACCUUCCUUGGCUCCCUGUCAAAUAGAGUGGCGGUGUCAGGGUGAAGGGCGGGACAAAGACUGUAUAAAAAGAGGCUAAAUUUAAAAGAGACGUGGCCAAAACUGAAAUAGAAUUAGCAUCAACAGAGAGUACAGAGACUAGUUUGUUAUGUGAAUGAUCCCAAAAUGUCAAGUGUGUCCAGUUUAGGCAGCUACAUGCAGCAGGCCUGCAGAUGGUUUAUUGUAGGCUCACUCUGUUUAUAUACUUGAA